rnacentral:rRNA from 1 species
UACGAAGGGGGCUAGCGUUGCUCGGAAUUACUGGGCGUAAAGCGCACGUAGGCGGAUUGUUAAGUCAGAGGUGAAAUCCUGGAGCUCAACUCCAGAACUGCCUUUGAUACUGAAAGUCUUGAGUAUGGGAGAGGUGAGUGGAACUGCGAGUGUAGAGGUGAAAUUCGUAGAUAUUCGCAAGAACACCAGUGGCGAAGGCGGCUCACUGGCCCAUUACUGACGCUGAGGCACGAAAGCGUGGGGAGCAAACAGG